UCGAACGGCAGCGCGGGGCAACCUGGCGGCGAGUGGCGAACGGGUGAGUAAUAUAUCGGAACGUACCCAAGAGUGGGGGAUAACGUAGCGAAAGUUACGCUAAUACCGCAUACGAUCUCAGGAUGAAAGCAGGGGACCGCAAGGCCUUGUGCUCCUGGAGCGGCCGAUAUCUGAUUAGCUAGUUGGUGGGGUAAAGGCUCACCAAGGCGACGAUCAGUAACUGGUCUGAGAGGACGACCAGCCACACUGGAACUGAGACACGGUCCAGACUCCUACGGGAGGCAGCAGUGGGGAAUUUUGGACAAUGGGCGCAAGCCUGAUCCAGCAAUGCCGCGUGAGUGAAGAAGGCCUUCGGGUUGUAAAGCUCUUUUGUCAGGGAAGAAACGGUAGAGGCUAAUAUCCUUUACUAAUGACGGUACCUGAAGAAUAAGCACCGGCUAACUACGUGCCAGCAGCCGCGGUAAUACGUAGGGUGCAAGCGUUAAUCGGAAUUACUGGGCGUAAAGCGUGCGCAGGCGGUUUUGUAAGUCUGUCGUGAAAGCCCCGGGCUCAACCUGGGAAUUGCGAUGGAGACUGCAAGGCUUGAAUCUGGCAGAGGGGGGUAGAAUUCCACGUGUAGCAGUGAAAUGCGUAGAGAUGUGGAGGAACACCGAUGGCGAAGGCAGCCCCCUGGGUCAAGAUUGACGCUCAUGCACGAAAGCGUGGGGAGCAAACAGGAUUAGAUACCCUGGUAGUCCACGCCCUA
rnacentral:rRNA from 1 species